UAUAAUCCCAUCAACAAAUGUAGAACUAUAAUACAGACAGGGGGAAAAAGAAGCAUUUACAAAGAAUAAGAAAAAAAGGAAUUUAAAGUCUUCUCUGGGUUUUUAUCCCUAGGUGCUAUUAGCUACAUCAUUCCUUCUUUCCCAAAGAGGUAAAUAAAAAUCAUGGUCAUUAACUAUGUAAUUUACUGAUCAGCCACCGAGUAUUCAACCUUAUUCAGUGAAUAAACCUUCUUAUUGUAGUACAAUGGCCUAUUGCAUAAAUCAAUUACGGUGCAAGGAUCCUUACACAAAUCAUAGUGGGUAAUGAGCAACCAAAGAAAAACCUAAAUGUCUUUCAUCCAUAGGAUCAUAGCUGUUACAAUGUGUGUAGGUCUCACAAAUCUUCCAUUGAUCAUAGCCUGAAAUGCUGCAACAAUAAAAUUAUACAAGUAAGCACGUCAAUUUGUCAAAGUGCUGAGGACCCAUUACUAAGUUUGAAAAAACAAAAAGCUUCAAACCAUACUCGCUAUUUGAGAGGUUACAAAAGAGUUAUAAAAUAUAAAAAACAAAAGCAUCAAAAAGCUCUAACAUAUAGCAAAGUUAUAGUCUGCUUUGCAAUACAACGGCAUACUAAAUAAAACGCACCAUUCCUAAUUAGCAGUAAUUUCUACAGUCACCUAAAAGCAAAACAGGUGUCAGAAAUGAUGCCACUGGUGGUCUUUAUGUGACGACCCCACCUCCCCCUAAGGCGAACCAGAGGGUUCGGCGGGCCGCCUGCCCAGCUCUCGCCGGGACUCACUCACUCACUACAGUCCUCCAAUGAAGUAUAAGCUAAAUCUCAAAUAUUACAUUCAAUUCUCCAAGAAUUACAUAUCACAAGUACCAGAAAGUAAAACCUAGAAAAACUGAUAACUACAACUACCACGCCAACUAUGUACAUCUUACUCGUCAACUUUUAACAAAUACAAAUUCAAGUAUUCUAUAGCUCAAAAUCUAACCACCUUCCCGAGCGAUCCCCCUGCUAAGGAAAACAAAUGGAACGGGGUAAGCUAUAUGCUUAGUAAGUAAACAAGGGCGAAAGCAUAAAUUUCACGUACAACAAUUACACAGUAAGAGUAAAGCAAAAGCAAAAAAGUAACAUCACAUAAUAAGGAUACGGGUGGCUCCAAAGCCAGAUCGUUUGCCAUGUGUGACCUCCUGCCGACACUCCGUCGACCUCAAAUAAUGGUCCGUAGAACUUCACUUGUACACCCACCGUACACCUUAUCACCCUCUCUGGCCAGGCACCUCACAAACUUGCUCGAGCGAACGAAAUCACAAACUUGAGCUUGGUUCACAAGCUCGGGUCACAAACUUGGUCCACAUUCUCGGUGAACCGGAUUCACAAACUUGGUGACCUCAGACUAAGUUGGACUGGCUUCGACCAAGUCCUGACCGGCUCGAAUAGUCCAUCUAGGUCGGAAGAUCAACCCCAAACUCACAAAUUUCACAAAAUUAUUCAAAAGUCACCUCGAGCCACAAGCUCAAGGGUUUUAGUUUCAAAAUUUCUCAUAUACACAAGCCAUGUACAAAUAUGUGCGUAAGUUAGGGUUUAGGUCGAGUGCGAUAAAGUACACCCUCGCCUAGGUACCCUCUUCAUACAUAUCGAAACAUAUAAGCAACUAACACACAAGAGCGGCCUGAAUACUUACUCAAAAUACCAAAAGUAGUACUAAAGCAAAAUCGCUUCGCGCGUGUUCGCUAGUAGUGGGCCCCACCGGCUCCGCCUAGCUCACCACUGUCUGAAAUAGAAGAUUUUACCACAUUAUAUCACAAACGGCUACUAACAGAUCCAAAACAAGCAAAACGGCAAAAAUCGGCACACGCGCUCGCGCGGAACGGCAAACGGAAACGGCCAAAUCGGCCAUCUCAAACCGUUUUGAUCAAAGGUUAGGCUAGGAAUAUCGGAUCAAGGUGAACGAGACACCGUUUCGAAGCUAUGAGGAAGGCCUACGAUUCUCAUGAAGACACCUUAAACUAGAUCCGAAUCAACACAAGUCGAAAUCAUGGAAAACUGUACCAGAAGUUUGCACUUUGAAUGACAGACAGGGUCUGUUUACUGGACCAUAACUUCUAGCUCACAAGUCCAAAUCAGGAAAUUCCAAAGGCAUUAGAAAGCUGAGACAUAAGGCUAAAACUUUGAUGUUUUGGCCAAGAGCUGAAUCCACUCAGAACAGAACGAAAAUUGAGUGCCAAAGUACCCGUCAGAACUGUCCAGAUACAAGGCAGUUCUGACGAUCAAUCUUGUUUUGGUCAUAACGGAAGCUACGGAACUCGGAUUUCGACGCACUUUAUACCGUUUCGAAGCUGAGAUCAAGAUCUACAUUUCUUACGAAGGAGUUGACACCCAGAUCGUACGGGAUCAAAACGGAAAACCCACGGUCAGAAGCUGAAAUUCAAAACGUACACAAACUAAUGUCUAAAACAGGCCUGAGUGUUCUGUCUAUAACUCAGAAUACGCUAAUCCGUUUGACCUGAAAUUUUACAGAAAUAUUCAGGACUUAAGGGGCUACAAUGUUGAAGAAGGAAACUUUGUCCAGUUUUGAAGGUAACAAGGUCAAAAAUGCAAGACACUAUACCAGAAUCGCAAAACAGGUUCACAAACCGUAUUCUAGUACAAACAUCAUAACUCAGCCUACACAAGGCCAAAUACAGAAAUUCCAAAGCCAUCCGAAAGCUUAAAAACAGGGGUAAAUUUCAUCAGAAGACCUCAACACCCAAAUCCAAAACAAUUCCAGGCAAAACAACCCAUUUCAGACGCAGUUCUAACAUCCUGAUGAACCCAGAACAGCAAUAGUAAUUUCGGCUUAUCUCAUUCUACACUACUCCGAUUGACCUGAAAUUUUACAGGCACCUUUAAAACAUCAAUACCUAAAACUUUUAUGUUUUAAGCCAAGGCCAAUUCGGCUUCUAGCAUGGUGCAACAAAAACGGACAGAAAGGGGAAAAAUUUUCCAGAAACCUGGAAUCUUUUGGUUUCAAUCAUAGUUUUCUUAAUUUCUUGCUACACUUGCUACCAAAACCCCCUAUAUAACUUUGGAUACAACAUAUAUCAAUCGUACAUCAAGUAUAGGCAGAAAUUAAUCAAACCCUAACUUACCUAUCUCAUCCAAAAUCAUCACAUCAACUUGCAUAACUUGUAAUCAAACCCAAAACAUGAACUAUUUAACAUCUUAAACAAGAAUAAAAGGAUCAAAGCCAUAGAUCAGAUUUUAUACCUCAAAAAGAAGGCUUGCAAGAGUGAUCCUCCACUAUUUCUUGAAAUUUUUGGUUCCCUUAGCUUCCCAAGCUUCCAAACUUACGAUCAAUCGGUUUAGAAUUCGAUUUUAGCACUUGGUUGGUGUAAAUCAAGAAGAAAAUGGUGCAACUCUUGCUCUCCCUUUCUCUCUCUCCUUACUCAGCCAAGAUGCAGAAAAUAAUGAAGGAGAUUAAGCUAAGUUUGUCUUAUAAGAAGGUAGAAAGAUAAGAAUUAAUUCUAACCACAAGUUUGGCCAACACUUGGCUUAACCUCAACCACAAAAAUUUUCUCUUUCCUUCCUUGCAUUUGAGCCACAAAUUUCGGUCAAGCUUAGCUGUAAAUUAGGAGAUAUUUUACUCAAAUAUCAGUAGACUUGUAUGGGAAGAAAGUGGUGGUCAGGUGGUGCGUUCAAUCGGUAGUGCGCGGGACCCUCCGGUUCGCGCUGUUUUUCUUAAAAACACACGUACUAGGGUUUUUACUUCCUAUUCACUAACCUUGUAUCAUUGCUUCUAAUCACAUAGUAUUUCUCACUUAAAAGUCAUUUUUAAUCACCACAUUUGAUCCUUGCUCCAUACCGAAAUUUCAUCCGGCGAAAAAUCGCGAAAACCCUAAUUUGCUCCAAUCUUGAAAACGAAGAGUGAAACCCUACUUUCUAGCUUUAUUUACACUUAUUGUGGAGUACUUGAGUAGGAGGAUCAUAUUAAAUAAAUAAUUUCCAAAUAAAAGGAAUUUUAAGAAAAGUGUGAUGAAUUUUUCAAUUCCAUAAAAUAAAAUUAGGGUUUUGAGUCAAAUAUGAGGGAUUUAAACAUAGUCACAAGUAAACUAGGGUUUUUGAUUAAAAUUUUAGGGUUUCUAGUCUUUUAAAACAAAAUAAGAUUUUAAAUCAAACACAAAGAAAUAACUUUAGUAUCUUCCCUGAAACAAAAUAAUGUUUUAAAAUAAAAUGAACUAAAGAAACCGUAAAACAAUAGCAUCUUAAAAGUUGGGGUGUCACACUUUAAAAAAAUUGAUGCAAUGAAUUUGAUCAUUAGCUUGGGAAGAAAAGCAAAUAAUAGCAAGGAACUUAGCGAUACUUCAAAGAUAUUAAUUCCACUUGAGCCAUUGCUGCACCAAAAGUGGCUAUCCAACCUCCGAUUAUAUCAAAUUAAUGAUUUGAGCCACUUAUUAUAUAAACCCCAACCCAACAAUUAUACAAGGAUCAAGGAAUUAAUCUUAAUAAAUGGCUAUUUCAAGUUUUACAAUACAAAUUGCCUUUUUACAAGUUGAGUUGACCAUACACUUGCAUGAAGAUACCGACAGGAGGAGGAAAAAACAGAUCAGUUUUGAAGAGUGUUCAAAGCGGAAAAAAAAGUGUUUAAAUUAGAUGAAAAAUCAAAUUUACAGAUUUUCUACAAUCGUGACUAUUUUCCCUUGAUCACAUGAAGAAGAUAGGGAUAUGAAGAUCUAAACGGAAAAGAAAUUGGCUAAAUUACUAAGCACAAUGACAAGCCUUAACAUGGAAAGAAUUUGUGCAUUAUCCCAUAGAUAAGAACUCUACAAGAAACAAUCAUAAAUGUCUAUUCAACCAAAACACCAAAAAUUUACUUUUUUCAAUUACCACUUCUAUAUAAUCUAUGCAAUAAAUUACCAUGCAAGCACCAUUUUACUUUCUGUUUUAUCUGUUUCUCUAGGCCACAAACUCAAACAUGACAAACAAAAAGGAAGCUAGACCAUAUACUUAAUUACAUGACAAAUACUUUAAAAAGCAAAUUUUUACUGAAUAGAAGUAUUCUCCGCAUAUUAGUAUGAAAAAAGGAUCUAAAAAAUACUGAAAUUCCUAAAAAAAGACCUAUAAAAAAUCAAAGAUAUCAGGCUGCCAAAGAGAAACUCUCAGUCAUUUCCAUGGUUCCUCUUGCAACAACAACAAAAGUAAAGUAUACCAGAGUUAUUUAUGAACAAAAUAUGCCCUAUCUUUAAUGAUUUAAGGUAAGAAAACCUUAUAUAGAGGAUGAAGUCUAAUUGAGCAAGAAAUAUGUCAGCACAACUUGUUGGAUCGCAACAUACUGUAACAAAAUAUCCUAAUUAUCAAAUAAAGUAAUAACCAAGUCAUUGUGUAAACCAUCAAAAUUUGGUGUCACUUAUGUACCUCCAAUUUUUGUUCCAUACUUACACAAGGUGUGGCCGUCCAACCUUGAAUUUUGUUAUUUGCAGUCCAAUUUUAGUUCUUCCACUUCUAGAUUUCAAGUGGAAGCCACAAUAGCAUGUUAUAAGUCUCUCUAGUUGCAGUGCCAGCUCUAUGGCUUCAUCCACUCCUCAGAUUUACAAUUUCAAUUUCAAUUACUCCUACCUUCUUCAGAGUAAACCAUCAAAAGCAAUUCUUUUACCAAAAAGUCAAGAAUAAAUUCUAGUACAAAAAACUAUGAAAGAGAAAUAGAAUUCAAACUACCAUAACAUAAAGUCCCUACAAUUUUUUUAAUCUACGGAUCCGACAACUACUCUGGUCAACCUAGCACAAAUUUCCUUGCAUAAUUACUUAGCAAAAUAUUAAAGCCUUACCUUUGAAAUAUAUGCCAAUUGGCAAAAAUGCCAACUCUUUAUACCUGCAAUCACACCAAGAAGAAAGUGAGUUUUAGAAAAGAAAAAGGAAACCAUAAAAAAAACAAAACACACACACACACACACAUACAUGGUGGGUAAAGGUUAAUGUUUCCAGUAAAACAUCUGGAACCAUGGAAGAAUGUCGAAACCUCCAUCAAAAUCAUCAUCAGUUCAUCUUCAAUCUCCAUCAUCCUUUCCCAC
rnacentral:lncRNA from 1 species